UGGCGACAACGAUCCACCGUCAAAGUCAAACAAACCAAACCUCGCGCGUGAGUUGCCAUAAAAUUAAUAUCUUGUGGCUUCACACAUUCCGAUGCCAUAA
rnacentral:antisense_RNA from 1 species